GGGAACUAGAGAACCAUCAUCUCAUCAAUUCCUCUGAGUUAACACCUUGUUUCAAGUCUAAUUCUCCAGAGUUUCCCAAUAUCUGUCAUUCUCUACACUCUUGUUAUCUUCCCAUUAGAUUGCAAUUUACCAAAGGCAUGGGGCACCCUUUCUUAUUUAUAUCCCUAACACUUGGCAUAAUGCUUCUCAUAUAGCAGAUAGAACCAGAAAAUGUGCUUCUGGAAGAGGAACAAAAGUUGUGAGUGCAGGGAGACACAAAGGAGCUAGUCCAAAACAAGAAACAAAGAGGGAAGUGGCGAAGCUGGCCCAGUAAGCAGACUCGAGGGAAACAAAGGGAGAGCCCAGGCUGAGCCUUUGAUAUCUUAGUGGAGUCUCCAGCUAAGUCUUCUCCCUGCCGAGCAUCCCCAUCACUUCAGUGAGUUGAGUGCCUUUCAAAAAGAAUCACUGGGAAGAACAGUUGAUAGAAAUCCAAGUGCAAAUCCUUCC
rnacentral:lncRNA from 1 species